AAGACUAUACUUCAGGGAUCAUUUCUAUAGUGCUGUACUUGAGAAAUGUGUGUCUAAAGUGGUAGAUCUCGCUAUCCAUGAGGACGAUUAAAGAUAUUCCCGUUCAGAGCAUGAAUCUUUGGUUAGAAGUGACUUUGCUCAUUUUUCUUCCACCUUUGAUGACUGUUCCUUGUUCUCAAUGAACGUGGAUGAAGGGAAUAUGUUCUGAGUGGA
rnacentral:snoRNA from 1 species